AUUGAACGCUGGCGGCAGGCCUAACACAUGCAAGUCGAACGAGUGGCGGACGGGUGAGUAGUGUCUGGGAAACUGCCUGAUGGAGGGGGCUAACUACUGGAAACGGUAGCUAAUACCACAUACCAUCAGAUGUGUCCAGAUGGGAUUAGCUAGUUGGUGGGGUAACGGCUCACCAAGGCGACGAUCCCAAGCUGGUCUGAGAGGAUGACCAGCCACACUGGACCUGAGACACGGUCCAGACUCCUACGGGAGGCAGCAGUGGGGAAUAUUGCACAAGGGGCGCCAGCCUGCUGUAGCCAUGCCGCGUGUAUGAAGAAGGCCUUCGGGUUGUAAAGUACUUUCAGCGGGGAGGCGUUACCCGCAGAAGAAGCACCGGCUAACUCCGUGCCAGCAGCCGCGGUAAUAC
rnacentral:rRNA from 1 species